CAAUUGAUAAAGUGAACUAAUUGCCUACUUCAAAAGCAGUUUUGCAUGAAAGUCAACAUCUAAUUGGAAUUUACAAUGCCCGAUAUUUCUACACAUCUGCCACAAAUUUUAUGGAAAUCAAUAUUUAUAGAAACUGAACAUACCUUGGUUAAACGUAUAUGAAAUGGGUAACCAUCCUCGAAGAACAUCAACCAGCUGUCGGCAAUGUGCAGGUGGACUGAGGAAUUUUCCGGUGUGUCCUUUAUGGACUGUACUCCGUCUUAGCACUAUCCUCAAGUUUUACCCGAGAGGCCAUGCUUCAGGUUGGACCGUCUUCCAUAUAUCUACUGACUUCAUAUAAAUGAAAGUCUCGCUGAUCUGCACAACCAGCUCAUGUUCAACGUUACUGAACUACAAAGUAAUCCGACAAUCAGACUGGACCCGGUCAUAUCAGAUACCAGAGGAAGACGAAAAUAUAAUU